UGGGGAAUAUUGCGCAAUGGGGGGAACCCUGACGCAGCCAUGCCGCGUGAAUGAAGAAGGCCUUAGGGUUGUAAAGUUCUUUCAGUAUUGAGGAAGGUUGAUGUGUUAAUAGCACAUCAAAUUGACGUUAAAUACAGAAGAAGCACCGGCUAACUCCGUGCCAGCAGCCGCGGUAAUACGGAGGGUGCGAGCGUUAAUCGGAAUAACUGGGCGUAAAGGGCACGCAGGCGGUUAUUUAAGUGAGGUGUGAAAGCCCCGGGCUUAACCUGGGAAUUGCAUUUCAGACUGGGUAACUAGAGUACUUUAGGGAGAGGUAGAAUUCCACGUGUAGCGGUGAAAUGCGUAGAGAUGUGGAGGAAUACCGAAGGCGAAGGCAGCCCCUUGGGAAUGUACUGACGCUCAUGUGCGAAAGCGUGGGGAGCAAACAGGAUUAGAUACCCUGGUAGUCCACGCUGUAAACGCUGUCGAUUUGGGGGUUGGGGGUUUAACUCUGGGCGCCCGUAGCUAGUGAUAAAUCGACCGCCUGGGGAGUACGGCCGCAAGGU
rnacentral:rRNA from 1 species